GAUGAACGCUAGCGGCAGGCCUAAUACAUGCAAGCUGAACGGUAAAUGUUGUAGCAAUACAAUAUGAGAGUAGCGUAAGGGUGCGUAACACGUAUGCAAUCUACCCGCAACAGGAGGAUAGCUCCCCGAAAGGGGAAUUAAUACUCCAUAAGAUCACGAGAAGGCAUCUGAUUGUGAUUAAACUCCAAGGGGUUGCGGAUGAGCAUGCGCAUGAUUAGUUAGUUGGCGGGGUAACGGCCCACCAAGACGAUGAUCAUUAGGGGAACUGAGAGGUUGAUCCCCAACACUGACACUGAGAUACGGGCCAGACUCCUACGGGAGGCAGCAGUAGGGAAUAUUGGUCAAUGGGUGAAAGCCUGAACCAGCCAUGCCGCGUGCAGGAAGAAAGCCUUCUGGGUUGUAAACUGCUUUUAUCUGGGGAUAAAAUACCCAUGCGCGGGGAAUUGAAGGUACCAGAUGAAUAAGCCACGGCUAACUACGUGCCAGCCGCCGCAGUAACAC
rnacentral:rRNA from 1 species